UACGAAGGGUGCAAACGUUGCUCGGAAUUAUUGGGCGUAAAGCGCACGUAGGCGGCUAUCUAAGUCGGAUGUGAAAUCCCUCGGCUUAACCAAGGAAGUGCAUCCGAAACUGCAGUGCUUGAGUACUUAAGAGGAUCGCGGAAUUCCCGGUGUAGAGGUGAAAUUCGUAGAUAUUGGGAAGAACACCGGUGGCGAAGGCGGCGACCUGGUCCUUGACUGACGCUGAGGCGCGAAAGCGUGGGGAGCAAACAGG
rnacentral:rRNA from 1 species